UACAGAGGUCUCAAGCGUUGUUCGGAUUCAUUGGGCGUAAAGGGUGCGUAGGUGGCAUGGUAAGUCGGAUGUGAAAUCUCGGAGCUUAACUCCGAAACUGCAUUCGAUACUGCCGUGCUUGAGGACUGGAGAGGAGACUGGAAUUUACGGUGUAGCGGUGAAAUGCGUAGAUAUCGUAAGGAAGACCAGUGGCGAAGGCGGGUCUCUGGACAGUUCCUGACGCUGAGGCACGAAGGUCAGGGGAGCAAACGGG
rnacentral:rRNA from 1 species